GCGAGAGUGGCGGAAUUGGCAGACGCGCUAGACUUAGGAUCUAGUGGGCCUAGCCCCGUGGGGGUUCGACUCCCCCCUCUCGCA
rnacentral:tRNA from 1 species